rnacentral:lncRNA from 1 species
CAGGUCAGCUUCCUACAAAGGGAAAAGAAAGAGUAAGGCGAGAAAACCAACCCCAAGUCUACAAGAUGCUAGGGGAGGGUUGAGGGAAACGUCAUGACUGAGUACAGGCUUCUUUCUUUGUAAGUUUCUGCAGUUUAAAAGCUUUAUAGCAGAGUACUCUAUAUGCACGCUGAUUAUAUUAUUGAGACAAUGAUGGACCUCUGACAUUAUCUAUUGUACUAUGACCCUAUACCUCUCGCUACACAUAUGACGAUUUUUGGGUUUUUUCGUUCGAUAUUCGAUGUUUGAUAUUCGCAUUAAUGUCUUGAUUAAUUUGAAUUCGCCCCGCAUAAAAUUCAUUAAACAAAUAUUUUUUCUUAUCAUUUAGAUCGAGAAUUCUGAUUAUGAGUAGAAGAAUCAUAUUAAUCUCACGACAAUCAUCUAUGGUCAUUUAUAUUGACGAGAGAGGCAGAUCUAGCCUUCUAACAUCGAUCGUGUGUAACUAAAUUCAUAACUUUUGAUGCAUAGCAUAAAUUUAUGCGUAAAAAUUUGCUAAAAAUAUAACAAAUGGAUAAUAGAUAUGAACUUCAUAGUUUUAGAAAUAUAAUGAAUUUAAUAGUAAAAAUCUUAAAAAGCUUAUAUAAUUCAAAUCCUGGAUCCGUCUUUGAUUUACGACGGCUUAUCCCCUUAUUCAUUAUCCAACCCCCCAACUGCACUGGCAUUUCUUCCAAAGCUCUCGUCAUCAUCAUGAAUUGAUAAAUAGGGGCAAAUUUCCUACUUUAGCAAAUACUCCAAUUGUGUAAUAUAACCCCGUUCAUCUAAAUAUAAAACAGUUGAUAGAGAAAAGUAAAACAAACAAUAUAUUCUUAAAAUCGAAUAUUGUCUGACUCUUCAAAUAAUAGUAAUAAUAUCAUAUAAAAUGAGAUGAAAGAGAUAAAAAAAAAAAAUUCUCUAGAAAUGCAGUCGAAGAUAGCAGCUACCUGUUUAGUGCAUUGAUAAUUUUAACCUAGGUAAACACGCAAGCAAAAUGUGUACUAAUAUUUCUAUGGAUUGGAAUCUCUCACUCUAUUUAUUUCACGUCAAGUUUAGGUAAAAUCUGCCGCCAUUAUAUGACAAACGAAGAGAGAGGAGGAAAAAAGAGAUCAAGAAAAAGUCCAAAGGGAGAGUUAAGAGGUGAAGUUUUUUUUUCUUUUGCAGUGUGCCAAGCAUUCAAUAGGGAAGAAGGAAAUGCAAUAUCCAAAUCACACGCUUUCCUUCUCAGUUUCUUACAUGCACGCCUGUAUUACACUGACUUCUAGUUACGUCAUUCAUUAAUUUCCCUCCCUAUACUCUUUCUGCAAUUUUCAGAGAGAAAAGACUAUAGAUUUGUAUCGACUGCGAAUGGUUCUAUGAAAUGAUUGAAAUCUCUUUUUUCUUCUUUCUUAACUAAAGAUUUCAGAAAUUAAAAGUAGAGAACUUUUCAAUAGCGAACACUGCCGUUUGACAGGAUUCUUGCGAUAAAAUUAUUUUCUGAAAUCUAUAGAGUUAGUUAACUAAAUAUCCCACUUUCUGAAAUUAUGACCUGUAGAUUAUGAAUUCGAACUAUAGAGUUAGUUACUAACUAAUAUUUGCGUUAUGGUAGAUCCUGUAUCAAAUUCCUUGGGUGCAGCUCUUCUAUGAUAAUACAGAAUAUUUAAUGCACUUGGUUGUCCCGAGUAGACCGGCCUAUUAGAUACAAAUUCAAAAGAAUCGGAUCAAUAAUUACGAAUAAGAAUAAAAAUUAAAAUAAAAAUAAAAUAAACAUGCAUGAUUUAUGAAGAAGAGCUAUCUAUCGAUCUAUGGAGUAGCAGCUACAGGUAUUAAUGUGUUAUAGGAACUGAUAGAUUCAUUUCAAUCUUUCUUCCUAUUUGAAUGCUAUCCAAUCUUUAUUUCUUUCUUUCUUAUUUUCGUUUCACUUAAUUCCUACCACAAACUCCAAUGUCUGUGCCUUUUCAAACUAUCAACUUGCUAACAUUGUACUAUUGGCCACCAUUUAUUAACUCUAUGACGUUCAUCUAGAUUUUCUCCGUAUCUUUCAGCAGCGUCCAUAUCAUAGACAUAGUAAAACCACAUUCUCUAUAUUUCAAAUUAUUAAUUAAUAUUCCACCUCUUUUCAAAAAGAUAAGAUAUACUUUAUUACGAUAUUAUAUAAGACAGUCAAAAAUCUUUGCCAAGGAUUAUAUUGGUGUGAGUGUGACCCCCCCCUUUUUUUUUUGAAGGUGACUUUAAAUAACUGAAAUAGAACUACUAACUAUUUUUGGACAUGAAAAGGUAUACGCUAUCUGAUAUUUUCUUCACUGAUAAAUCCAAAAAGGAGCUUCCCCUCCCCCCCACUGCACGUAAUUUCCCAUAUUUUUCUUUUUGUAUAGAGAUUAGAGAGUAGCGACUAGGGAGUCACUCUUCAAAUGGCUUGGAAACUUUGAAAAUGACUUUACAUUUACUCUGCCAAAUCAAUAAUAUGACUGGUUUCUAAGAUCCUUUCGUCCUUUUUUUUUAAUUUAAUAAUAGUAGUCCGAACUAGUUUGAGUGCGAUUAAUUCAAUGAAUAUUUAUUAAUCUCAUUAGCAUAGAUAUCGAGUAACAACACUGCCCUCCAAGAAUUUGGCAGAUGCUCACCAAAUGUUUUCUAAGAUCUUUUCAUUCUUUUCCUCUUAUUAUAACUACGUUGUAUUUUUUUCAAAUUGCAAUAUGUACAAUAUCCUUUUCUUAUGAUAAUUUAAAUUUUGCUUGCUCAAAAGGACACUAAUUAGUGAAACUUUAAGCGUUUUAUUUAAUUUUCAUACCAGAGGAACUCAUGAGUUAAAGAAGUGAUUAUAUAACUAAAUAUCCCACUUUUUAUGCACAAUCAAACUACCAGAUAAGCAUUUUAUGGUUGAAACGCUUGGAUUAAGUAAAGAUAAAAACCUGUUAUGGCAAAUGAAUUGAAAUGAGUUUGACUCUGAUCAUAUCAUGAUAAAGAAGUAAAUUUGCUCCUAAUUUAACCCGAAAAAUUAGGUUAUAAGGUGAGAAUGUGGAACUCAACGUACUGGUCUACAUUUAGGUUUUUCCUUUUUUCUUAAUCUCUAUAUAUGGACAAGGUCUAUAUCUAAUAUUUAAAAGAAGUAAGUAAAAAAAUAGUUGCUAGCAAAUAUAUUAUUGUCAACUCAAUAUAAAUUAUACUACUAAUAAUUAAUACGUUUCAAGAUUUCAUUCACACCCAAGUACCCAAAAAGAUGUUUGGUUCAACUAAACAAAAACUCAACACUGUCGAAGAUUACAAAUGACAAAUUGAAGUCACAUGAAAUUAAUGUAUCUUCGAUAAGAGACAAACAAGGUGGGACUAAAUUGUUAGUAGGACUGAGAUUGCUCUCUCGACCUCAAAAGUAGACUGCAAAUAGCAUUUGGAAUUUCAAGUAUAGAUUGGCAUGACUUUACAUGCAUGCAAACAUUACUGUCAAAUACUGUUCAUUCAAUUCAUUGCUGCCAUGCAACCAAAUCGCGGCAUGCACUUCUAUACAUUCACAUGAUAUAUAUAAGCACAUGAGUGGAUUGCUCAACGAGUUUCCCAUCGAACUUUUAAUCUUAAGAGUUCUAAACAAAAUAUAUUACCGUUUUUAAUAUAUAUGCACAGAUAUAUCUAGAAUUUCUGCCUAGGUUAACCGGUCCGCCUCUGUAUAUAAGGGUUCUAGAAUUUCUAUGUACAUAAGUCCGCCUCUGUAUAUAAGUGUGUGUAUGUGUGUGCAUAUUUUGUUGCACGAGACAAAUCAGCAUUUCAUUUGUUUGUAAUUUUCGAUACUACGAAUGUAUAUAUCAAUUGUUUUAGAAUAAAAUAAUUUGUGGUCCUUGGUUUUUAGGAAUAUUGUUCGUUUUUCCUGGUGGCUAAGAAAAUGAUAGUUCAAUAAAUAGAAACGUCCCCAGCUAUUAGAUAAGCUAGAACACUGCAACGGCCAUAACAAAGAUUAAUAAGGGAGAAAUUCUCUUCUAUCUUCUUCUCUUCUGUUUUUCUGUGGAAUCUUUUUCUGUUCUGAAAUUUUAAUCAGGGUAUUUUUUUUGGAUCUCUGAUAAUUUUGGGACCACUUUAAUUUGUUCUUUUGUUUCAGUGGAAUGUAGCUUUUGAAGCUGCAAUUUUCACUGACUUAACAGUACAUGUACAUCAGUUCGUGGGAAAGAGAGACACCUUUCUCAAUGGCUACCCUCUUCACCAACAUUCCAUCUAUGAUAAAUAUAAAUUCUCCACUAUGGUAUAUCACCAUUGUGGUUUUCUUUCUUGAAGCUAGAGAGAAUAUUAGCAUAUCGGCACGUGUUGUGAUUGUGCAAUCAGAAGGUUACGAGUUUAAGUCGCACAAAUAAUUUCUAAAUCAAAUGUAUAGAUUGUGUACGCUAGAUUGAAUGGUCCAAUUACCAUUUUAGAACCCCGCAUUAAAAGUACGACGCACUACCCUUUCGCAAGUAAAUUUGACGCUAACAUUAAGUUGUUUUGGUAUGCUUACGAGUUCGAGCCGUGAAAGCAGCUCUAAUACUUGAAUUAUGGUAAGUUAUUUACGUCACAUUCAUAUUGGGGUGCAGUCCUUCUUCGAAUCCUGCGUGAAUGAGGAUACUUUGUCGACCGGGUUGUCCCUUUUUUUUACGCCAAC